rnacentral:rRNA from 1 species
UCGAGAAUCUUCCGCAAUGCGCGAAAGCGUGACGGAGCAAUGCCGCGUGGAGGAUGAAGGCCUUCGGGUCGUAAACUCCUGUCACCCGGAACGAAUAAAUGACGGUACCGGGAGAGGAAGCCACGGCUAACUACGUGCCAACAGCCGCGGUAAGACGUAGGUGGCGAGCGUUAUUCGGAAUUACUGGGCGUAAAGAGUUCGUAGGGGGUUUGCCAAGUCCGAUGUGAAAGUCCGGGGCUCAACUCCGGGAAGCCAUUGGAAACUGGUGAACGCGAGGGCAGGAGAGGAGAGUGGAAUUCCCGGUGUAGCGGUGGAAUGCGUAGAUAUCGGGAGGAACACCAAUGGCGAAGGCAGCUCUCUGGCCUGUACCUGACCCUGAGGAACGAAAGCUGGGGGAGCAAACA